AUUGAACGCUGGCGGCAUGCUUUACACAUGCAAGUCGAACGGUAACAGGCCUUCGGGUGCUGACGAGUGGCGAACGGGUGAGUAAUGCAUCGGAACGUACCCAGAGGUGGGGGAUAACGCAGCGAAAGCUGUGCUAAUACCGCAUGUGAUCUGAGGAUGAAAGCGGGGGACCGAGCAGCAAUGUUUGGCCUCGCGCCUUUGGAGCGGCCGAUGUCGGAUUAGCUAGUUGGUGGGGUAAGGCCUACCAAGGCGACGAUCCGUAGCUGGUCUGAGAGGACGAACAGCCACACUGGGACUGAGACACGGCCCAGACUCCUACGGGAGGCAGCAGUGGGGAAUUUUGGACAAUGGGCGCAAGCCUGAUCCAGCAAUGCCGCGUGCGGGAAGAAGGCCUUCGGGUUGUAAACCGCUUUUGGCAGGAACGAAACGGUGUCCGCUAAUACCGGGCGCUAAUGACGGUACCUGAAGAAUAAGCACCGGCUAACUACGUG
rnacentral:rRNA from 1 species